rnacentral:rRNA from 1 species
UACAGAGGGUGCGAGCGUUAAUCGGAAUUACUGGGCGUAAAGCGUGCGUAGACGGUGGCGUAAGUCGGGUGUGAAAGCCCCGGGCUCAACCUGGGAAUGGCGCCUGGGACGGCAUGGCUAGAGAUCGGGAGAGGAGCGUGGAAUUCCCAGUGUAGAGGUGAAAUUCGUAGAUAUUGGGAAGAACACCGGUGGCGAAGGCGGUGGGCUGGGCCGGCACUGACGCUGAGGAGCGAAAGCGUGGGGAGCGAACAGG